rnacentral:rRNA from 1 species
GACGAACGCUGGCGGCGUGCUUAACACAUGCAAGUCGAACGGAAAGGCCCUGCUUUUGUGGGGUGCUCGAGUGGCGAACGGGUGAGUAACACGUGAGUAACCUGCCCUUGACUUUGGGAUAACUUCAGGAAACUGGGGCUAAUACCGGAUAGGAGCUCCUGCUGCAUGGUGGGGGUUGGAAAGUUUCGGCGGUUGGGGAUGGACUCGCGGCUUAUCAGCUUGUUGGUGGGGUAGUGGCUUACCAAGGCUUUGACGGGUAGCCGGCCUGAGAGGGUGACCGGCGACAAUGGGACUGAGAUAGGGCCCAGACUCCUACGGGAGGCAGCAGUGGGGAAUAUUGCACAAUGGGCGGAAGCCUGAUGCAGCAACGCCGCGUGCGGGAUGACGGCCUUCGGGUUGUAAACCGCUUUCGCCUGUGACGAAGCGUGAGUGACGGUAAUGGGUAAAGAAGCACCGGCUAACUACGUG